rnacentral:misc_RNA from 1 species
CGCACAUUGCGCUCCCCAGCAUUCUGGAGAGCAUGCCUGUUCGAGCGUCAUUUCAACCCCUCAAGCCCUGUUGCUUGGUGUUGGGGCCCGCCGUGGCGGGUUCCGAAAUGCGUCGGCAGAGCCGGUUAGCACUCUGAGCGUAGUAACUCACCUCGCUUUUGGGAGCUGCCGGCCCCUCGCCGUAAAACUUUUAUCUAAAGUUUGACCUCGGAUCAGGUAGGAAUACCCGCUGAACUUAA